UACGAAGGGGGCUAGCGUUGCUCGGAAUCACUGGGCGUAAAGGGUGCGUAGGCGGGUCUUUAAGUCAGGGGUGAAAUCCUGGAGCUCAACUCCAGAACUGCCUUUGAUACUGAAGAUCUUGAGUUCGGGAGAGGUGAGUGGAACUGCGAGUGUAGAGGUGAAAUUCGUAGAUAUUCGCAAGAACACCAGUGGCGAAGGCGGCGACCUGGCCCUGACCUGACGCUGAGGCGCGAGAGCGUGGGGAGCGAACGGG
rnacentral:rRNA from 1 species